rnacentral:rRNA from 1 species
ACACGAAUCUCGGUGAUGGAUAUCUCGGCUCUCGCAUCGAUGAAGAGCACAACGAAAUGCGAUACGUGGUGCAAAUUGCAGAAUCCCGCGAACCAUCGAGUCUUUGAACGCAAGUUGCACCCAAGGCCAACCGUCCAAGGGCAUGUCUGCCUGGGCGUCAAGU